AAACGCUGAAGGCAUCUAAGCGUGAAGCCCCCCUCAAGAUGAGAUGUCCCAUUCGAAAGAAGUAAACCCCCUUGAAGACGACGAGGUAGAUAGGGCAGGGGUGGAAGUGCAGUAAUGCAUGAAGCUGACUGUUACUAAUAGGGUGAGGGCUUGACCAA
rnacentral:rRNA from 1 species